rnacentral:tRNA from 1 species
GGGCUCUUGGCUCAGUAGUAGAGCACCCGCUUUGCAAGCGGGGGGUCGCGGGUGCGAAUCCCGCAGAGUCCAC